rnacentral:misc_RNA from 1 species
GAUUCCUGGAAAGUUUUCUUCUGCAUUUGAUUCUGGUUUUCCUUACUUGGGAAGCCCACUUCAAAAUCCACCUGUGGUUAGAGCUACUGGGCAACUGUCAACAAAUCAUUCCAUAAAUGUAUCCUUCGAUAGACAUGGUCCCUCUUCUGCAGAAAAAGGUGAUUCUCACAGAGGGCCUGGAAGUGGUCAACCUGUACAGUCUUCCAUCCCCAAAGGGACUGGUGAUGAUAAACAGGAUAACCCUUCAAUCUCUGCCGGUAAGUCUCAUUUAAGUAAUGUGAAUGGUCCCCAUCAAAGGAUCUCUGCAAAUCAAGUUUCAUCGAAAGAGCCACGAUCAGUUUCUCAGCCUAUUUCAACGUCUGGCACCACACAGCAGGGUGCAUAUUCAAAAAUGUUCUCUAAUAUGUGGACCAAUUUUCCACCACGGCAGCCCCCUUUUGUUGCUCAAUCCACCAAGGAGCCUUCUCACAUUCACCAGUCACAUCAGUUGAAUAAUAUGGAGUCA